ACCCGCUGAACUUAAGCAUAUCAAUAAGCGGAGGAAAAGAAACCAACAGGGAUUGCCCUAGUAACGGCGAGUGAAGCGGCAACAGCUCAAAUUUGAAAUCUGGCCUUCUGGUCCGAAUUGUAAUUUGUAGAGGAUGAUUUUGGUGCGGUACUUUCCGAGUUCCCUGGAACGGGACGCCUUAGAGGGUGAGAGCCCCGUACGGUUGGAUGCCUAGCCUCUGUAAAUCUCCUUCGACGAGUCGAGUAGUUUGGGAAUGCUGCUCUAAAUGGGAGGUAAAUUUCUUCUAAUGCUAAAUACUAGCCAGAGACCGAUAGCGCACAAGUAGAGUGAUCGAAAGAUGAAAAGCACUUUGAAAAGAGGGUUAAACAGCACGUGAAAUUGUUGAAAGGGAAGCGCUUAUGACCAGACUUUUUCUAGGCGGAUCAUCCGGUGUUCUCACCGGUGCACUUCGUCUAGUUUAGGCCAGCAUCGGUUUCUAUAGGGAGAUAAAAGCUUCAGGAAUGUGACUCCUCCGGGAGUGUUAUAGCCUGUUGUAUAAUAUCCUUACGGGGACCGAGGUACGCGCUCUGCAAGGAUGCUGGCAUAAUGGUCAUCAGCGACCCGUCUUGAAACACGG
rnacentral:rRNA from 1 species